CUGCAGGGACCCUGACUGGCACACAGUGGGAUGGAUCCAAAAUGGGCAUGAAUUUUUCCAAAAACAAAAACGAAAAAUACGACGAGACCCCAAACUGUUGAGCAGAUGAAAUCCAAUAUCAAGCAAGAAUGGGAAAACAUUUCACUUUCAAAACUACAGCAAUUUGUCUCCUCAGUUGCUGAACACUUACAUAGUAUUGUUAAAGCGGUGAUGCAACACAGUAAUAAACAUGCUCCUGUCCCAAAUGCUUUAAAUGUGUUGCUGGUGUCAAAUUCAAAAUGGGCAUGAAUUUUUCCAAAAACUGAAACAUUUCUCUGGUUCAACAUUUGAUAUGCUUACUUUGUACUAUUUUCUAUUAAAUAUAGGGGAAAAGAUUUGCACAUUAUUGCAUUGUUUUUAUUUGCAUUUCACACCGCAUCCCAACUGUUUUGGAAAAGGGAAAUGUGCUGAUAAUUAAAAAAAGUUUCCAACACGGCUAUCAGAAAUGGAUGAUUACUGUUAUAUCAUGAUAUUAGUGGUACAUGUUGUGUAAUCCUUUUCAAUGCCUGUAAUCUGCUUCCCUCGAUGGAAACUCAAACACUUUUUCAUAGGCACUUCUAAUGUGAUUUCUGAGGUGGGCAUCAAUGUUCCUGUUCGUCAUGGCAACGCGGUCAUAAGUACAGGCGUACUGCCUCUUACGUCUCCAGGGCUCAGAGUUGAUCGGGGAUUGGUAAGGCAAACAGGCUGCCAGGUGGACUUUUGCCGUGUAUCCGGCAACAGACAGCAUGAAGGACAGGGCGUACAUCACCACAAACAGGGGAACAGGAACAAACACAGACCUCAGCCAUGACGGCACGAUGUAGCGGAUGACCAGGCGAUCAACGCCACCUUCCUGGAUGAAAUACAUUAAACACUGGUCAACCGGCUCGUCAUCCACUGCAGGCGACACCCACACCCAAGGGAUGAGAGCCCCCCCUGCCGAGCUCAUGCUGUUCCAGUGGGGGGGCAGGAGGCUGGGUGGGAGCAGGGCUUCAGCAGCGGCUACAUCGUGGUUGUUGACCAUGUUAAUGAAAAGCCUGUCGGGGGGUUGUAUUUUCCCACUGGCUAUUCCAUACGCCACCUGGGCAGUGAUGCUGCAGUUCCAAGUUGAAGACAGAGGGUGUUGACUCACUGGAUGGGUUUCAGCUUGUCUCUGAUCUCCUGCUGGGCUUCCUCAAUGUUCUGGGCUGCAUCUCGCAGGGCUUUGCUGGCCUGUGUGAUGUGGUUCCCCGGAUCAUUUCACCUGUGGACUCCAGCAGCUCUGGGAGGGAGAGAACCAGGCCAAACACACCUCCUGCAACC
ensembl:lncRNA